rnacentral:rRNA from 1 species
AAACCAACCGGGAUUGCCUUAGUAACGGCGAGUGAAGCGGCAAAAAGCUCAAAUUUGAAAUCUGGUACCUUCGGUGCCCGAGUUGUAAUUUGGAGAGGGCAACUUUGGGGCCGUUCCUUGUCUAUGUUCCUUGGAACAGGACGUCAUAGAGGGUGAGAAUCCCGUGUGGCGAGGAGUGCGGUUCUUUGUAAAGUGCCUUCGAAGAGUCGAGUUGUUUGGGAAUGCAGCUCUAAGUGGGUGGUAAAUUCCAUCUAAAGCUAAAUAUUGGCGAGAGACCGAUAGCGAACAAGUACAGUGAUGGAAAGAUGAAAAGAACUUUGAAAAGAGAGUGAAAAAGUACGUGAAAUUGUUGAAUGGGAAGGGCAUUUGAUCAGACAUGGUGUUUUGUGCCCUCUGCUCCUUGUGGGUAGGGGAAUCUCGCAUUUCACUGGGCCAGCAUCAGUUUUGGUGGCAGGAUAAAUCCAUAGGAAUGUAGCUUGCCUCGGUAAGUAUUAUAGCCUGUGGGAAUACUGCC